ACGUAGGGGGCAAGCGUUGUCCGGAUUUACUGGGCGUAAAGCGCGUGUAGGCGGAAAUGCCAGUCCGGCCUGAAAGCCCUCGGCUCAACCGAGGAUCCGGGUCGGAAACUGCAUUUCUUGAGGGCGGCAGAGGUGUGUGGAACUCCUGGUGUAGCGGUGAAAUGCGUAGAGAUCAGGAGGAACACCCAUGGCGAAGGCAG
rnacentral:rRNA from 1 species